GCUUGCGUAGCUCAAUGGUAGAGCACCACGCUAUAAUGAGCUUUGUAGAUAAUAUAAUGCGGAGACCUGAGUUCGAUCCUCAGCGCUAGCG